GAGAAAAUGUUGGAAUGAGAGAGAUGACAGAGAAAAUGUUGGAGUGAGAGAGAUGAGAGAGAAAGGGUUGAGAGGAAUGAGGGAAGCGAGUAAGGGUUUGGGGGGUUUCUUUUUUUUUUUUUUUAGUUUUGAGAAUGAAAAUUAUUUAAAUAUCCUUGACCUUAAAACUUGAAUCCAUAAUAAAUGAGGGUACUUUUGUCUACUAUAAUCCGGUACACAUUGUUAAAACGUACCAACUGAAAAACAGGCGUAUGCGUGUUAA
rnacentral:lncRNA from 1 species